AGUUUGCAUAGGCAUGGAUGUCAUCAGAGCUUUUCACAUUUUGUUCUUAUUCUGCUUCCAGGCAUUUUCCACCCUAUUGAAUUCAAGCAUGGCUUUGCAACUUAUUUUGACCAAGAAAUUGUGUGCAGAAAUAACUUAGGAUUUCUGUGGGGAUUCUUUGGGGCCUACUUUUCCAGUCGAACCCUGGUGGCCAACAAAGAUGUCACCAAUGGAGAGUGUUCCAUCAGCUUGCAACCUGAUGAGAGGAUCUACAAUUAAAAAACAAACGAAGAAGCAAACAAAAACUCUGGAUCACACUAAGUUUGAGCUAUUCCUUCUUAAACAUUUCUGGAAGAAUUUGUCACCUCAAUUUACCAACUCACUAAUUUUCACUUUGCCAGUAGCUCAUGAGAAUUUUAAUUCAAAAAUGAGCUUUGGAUAGCAGAUGUAAGAUAACCAUACCACAUGGAUAGCAUCUCUUUCGUUGGAUGCGGGUGCACAUUAAGUGAAAGAGGUUUUAGAGGUGAGCAAGGAUUCUAUAGGACAAAAUUUCAUAAUAUUAAAUAAUACAAUUAACCAUUAGUAUUCAACUUGAAAAUGCAUUUUGGCACUCUCAUAUAUACAGCAGAACUCCCAUUUAUAAAACCAUCAGAUAUUGUGAGACUUAUUUACUCUCACGAGAACAGUAUGGGG
rnacentral:lncRNA from 10 species